UAGUGGGUAAUUUGGGUGGGGUAAGCCUAUGGUUAGUCCCUUACACGGGGCAAGGCCACGACGGCCGGUUGGUAGGCCAAGGGGGCAAUGGGCCGAGAUCGGCAACUGGAAGCUCUGGGCUAUGGUGAUGUCUAGGGUGGGCAGUGGCGCUUAACUAGGACCCCCGCUGGAAACCCCAGAACUAGUUAAAGCGGCCCGAGAGGACGGACGCGGUGGUCGGUUGGUUAUAGGGGUAAAUGUAACUAGCUUAAGGUGCAUCCUGCGUGGAGUAGCCACGUAGUCUUAUAGAGUGAUAUCUCUGCUGAAUUGCCUGGGAAAAAUUCUGGAAAAGAUAAUUGCAACUAGAUUGUCUUUUCUAUCUGCUACUACUGAUCUAUUAUAUG
rnacentral:sRNA from 1 species